CCACAGAUAGUAAGCUUGAGUCAUGAUGUGAAGCCUCAUUUUUCAGCCAACCUAAAGCCUUGAUCUGUUCUCUUUACUCUGUCCUCGGGGAGCAUGAAGAGGAGAGAAUGACACUUUCAACUAACCUUCAACUACAACCAGAGAUGUUUACCGUUUUGGAAGAUCCUGGACAGAGACAAGAAUAGAGGAGAAAAAAAAAGUCUUCCAUGUUGUA
rnacentral:lncRNA from 1 species